AGGUGGAUUAGUGGCGCACGGGUGAGUAAUGCAUAGGUAACAUGCCCCAUAGUCUGGGAUAGCCACUAGAAAUGAGAUAGAUUAAUACCGGAUACUCCUUACGAGGGAAAGUUUUUCGCUAUGGGAUUGGCCUAUGUCCUAUCAGCUUGUUGGUAAGGUAAUGGCUUACCAAGGCUAUGACGGGUAUCCGACCUGAGAGGGUGAACGGACACACUGGAACUGAGACACGGUCCAGACUCCUACGGGAGGCAGCAGUAGGGAAUAUUGCUCAAUGGGGGAAACCCUGAAGGCAGCAACGCCGCGUGGAGGAUGAAGGUUUUAGGAUUGUAAACUCCUUUAAAGAUUAGAGAAGAUU
rnacentral:rRNA from 1 species